AAUCCAUUUGAAGUGGGCGGAAUAAGACAAGUAGCGGUGAAAUGCAUAGAUAUGUCUUAGAACUCCGAUUGCGAAGGCAGCUCACUAAGCUGGUAUUGACGCUGAUGCACGAAAGCGUGGGGAUCGAACAGGAUUAGAUACCCUGGUAGUCCACGCCCUAAACGAUGAUAACUCGAUGUUGGCGAUAGACAGCCAGCGUCCCAGCGAAAGCGUUAAGUUAUCCACCUGGGGAGUACGCCCGCAAGGGUGAAACUCAAAGGAAUUGACGGGGGCCCGCACAAGCGGAGGAGCAUGUGGUUUAAUUCGAUGAUACGCGAGGAACCUUACCCGGGCUUGAAAGUUAGUGAAGGAUGCAGAGACGCAUCCGUCCUUCGGGACACGAAACUAGGUGCUGCAUGGCUGUCGUCAGCUCGUACCGUGAGGUGUUGGGUUAAGUCCCGCAACGAGCGCAACCCCUAUGUUUAGUUGCCAGCAUUUAAGGUGGGGACUCUAAACAGACUGCCUGUGCAAACAGUGAGGAAGGUGGGGACGACGUCAAGUCAUCAUGGCCCUUACGUCCGGGGCUACACACGUGCUACAAUGGAUGGUACAGCGGGCAGCUACAUAGCAAUAUGAUGCUAAUCUCUAAAAGCCAUUCACAGUUCGGAUUGGGGUCUGCAACUCGACCCCAUGAAGUUGGAUUCGCUAGUAAUCGCGUAUCAGCAAUGACGCGGUGAAUACGUUCCCGGGCCUUGUACACACCGCCCGUCAAGCCAUGAAAGUUGGGGGUACCUAAAGCAUGUUACCGCGAGGAGCGUGUCAGGGUAAAACCGAUAAUUGGGGCUAAGUCGUAACAAGGUAACCA
rnacentral:rRNA from 1 species